rnacentral:lncRNA from 1 species
AGAGAGGGGUGACAAAAAAAAAUUAUAGAAGAAGCAAGAAAAAAAAAUAAAGAUGAAAAAUUAUAGAAAAAAAAAGAUAAAGAUAAAAUUGUACCGUUAAAAUAAAAUAGUGCAACAAGAGGAGAAAUAGUUCAACAAGAGGAGAAACAGUGCAAGAAGAGAAAAAACAGUAUAAAUAUCUCUUAAAGUGGUAUAAUUAUAUCUCAAAGAGUACAACAAGAGGAGAAACAGUGUAAAUAUUUCUCAAAGAGUAUAACUUUUCUUUAAAGAGUAUAACUUUUAUCUUAAUGGAUGCAGUUUAUAUCUGAAAGAGUGCAAUAAGAGGAGAAACAGUAUAAAUAUCUCCCAAAUAGUGCAAUUUUCGUUUAAAGAGUGUAAUUUUCAUCUUAAAACUGCAGUUUACAUCUUAAUAGUGCAACGUUCUUUUAAAAUAGUGCAAUUUUAUUUUAACGGUGCAAUUUUAUUUUCAUCUUUCUUUUUCUAUAAUUAUUAUCUUUUUUUUUUUCUUACUUCUUCUAUAAUUUUUUUUGUCACCCCUCUCUGCCAGCGCCGACGACGACACCACUAAA